UUCUAGAAGGAUCACUCACCCCCUCAAUUAGCACGAAAUGGUUCGGUCCACCCCAUCACGUAUAGCCCUUAAAUGUAAAGUGUGGACGCUAAACUCGUCUUUGCUCCGUCGAAAAAAUGAGACAAGACUUCAAAAUAAAAAUGAAUGAAAGCAGAGCCAUGAAAGGACGACGUUUUGCCUCCCAGUUGUUCUUAAACGAAGGCUUCUGGAGGUUUCUACACCAAUUACAUUGUGGAAGCCUUUUGAAUCCCGCCAGACAACAACAUUGACGAGUUCCCUGGCUGCCUCUUGGAUCUCGACUUCCCGCCUGGACACGGACUUUGACGCCUCGCUCCUGCCCUUGACCUCACGCCCGUCCACAGAUCUCCGAGCCUGCCUUGCCCCUCUUGGACUUCCCGGGAUCUGCAGCCGGAGGGGGACGCUCAGAGGACGAGGAGCCUCCCCGCUGCAAGCUGAGAGAUGACGACAGGCAACGGAGACACCCCUCCACCCGUCCUCCCCCUCCC